rnacentral:rRNA from 1 species
AUGCAAGGUUGUAAUCUUUUCCUUCCUUUUGUGCGAGGCUAUAGGAUUAUGAUCGGACAUAGGGAUGGAUUUGUAAUUAUGGAGGUUAACCAUGAAGGCUUUGUUGGUACGGACGGCAGAGAAAAUUCCACAUGUUAUGAUCAACAUGUGGAGAAAUUAAUUACUGUCCUUGUUGACCAAGUUCAGGCGGAUAUAGAAAAUCAUCGGCACAAGCAUUGGCUACCUUAUGUUCGGUUGUUUCUCCAGGAAGCCUACCAGCUGGCAACCAAGAUUUGUUUUAAGAAGUUGAUGGUACAAAUAGUUUCUCGGUAA